rnacentral:rRNA from 1 species
UACAGAGGGUGCAAGCGUUAAUCGGAAUUACUGGGCGUAAAGCGUGCGUAGUCGGUUAUCUAAGUCGGGUGUGAAAUCCCCGGGCUCAACCUGGGAAUUGCAUUCGAUACUGGAUAGCUAGAGUUCGGCAGAGGGGAGCGGAAUUUCGGGUGUAGCGGUGAAAUGCGUAGAUAUCCGAAGGAACAUCAGUGGCGAAAGCGGCUUCCUGGACCAGCACUGACGCUGAGGCACGAAAGCGUGGGGAGCAAACAGG